UGGUUUUAAAGCAAAAACCCAUCUCGAAAGGAGAUCUCUUUCUCUCUCUAUUGAUAGAGAAGAUGACGAAUUUUAUUCCUACCACAAGGACAACGAUGGAAAAGACGGAGACUUUCACAGGUAAUCUCGUUGGCUUAUCGGCUAUGGUUAAUGGGUUUGACGAGAGAGAGAGAGAGAAAUGGUUUCGCAAUUUGACGGGCUGGCCUUCUCUUUGGUGGGGUUGGAGGCAGUAGUGACAUGUCCAAGAAGAAGAAGAUGAAGGUGAGGGUGAAAUGGUCAUUUUGUUUUCCUUUGGAAGGAGGUGGACGAAAAAAGUUUUAUUAUUAUUCUUUAGCUUUGUUUAAUACUUUUUCCAUUUCUAUUUAAAAAAAAAAAAAUAUUAGACAAAAAUUCCACUAAACUAUCUGUAAUUAUGAAUUUUCUUUUCCUCUUUGUUUUGUUUUCGGAAGAAGAGAAACUUGAGAAUCACUCAUAUGAAAUGAACAUCUGUAAUCUAUUAUAUAGUUUUAUUUUAUUUUUUGUAAUAUGAGUUUGAAGCUUAACUCUAAAGGACCAUUCAAUAUUUGCACGAGCACACGAGAAACCCGGAAGUGGAAAUGGUUAUGGGCGGUGAAGCUGGUAGACUAUCUGUACAACUUAUACUAAUUUUUUGUCAUUAUCUAAAUUUCACUUUUUGCAGCAGCAGGCAUUAUCUUAGUUAACUGGUUUGGUUCAGGCAUGGUGUUCGGUUAUAACGGGUAAUCUGGUUAGGUUUAUUUUGUUUUACGUCAGUUUAAUUUUUGGUUCAAAAUCUGGAAUACAAUGAUAAAAAUAAUUAUUUUUUAAAAGUAUCUAAAUCAUUAUAAAUUGGUGUGGUUCGAUUCCAUCUUUAUUUUAUAACUAGUUUACUAUUUCUGUUCGAUUUUUAAACUAAUUGAUUCACUGAACUAUUAACCAAAUAACAAUUCUUAACAAACCAAAAUCGACAGCUGACAAUUUAGGUUCAGCUUACAAAAAUAAGAUUGGUUUGGAAUUGUUGGCCAGUUUGAGAGCAGAGUUUAUGAAAACAACAGUAAGAAGAAUAAAAGUAGAGUUAUUCUUGGGUUCACCCCCUAGGGUGAACCUAAAGGUUCACCAACCAAUAGAAAAUUAUCAUUUUAAAUCUAGUAUCUUUUAAUUAUGGAAACCAAAUAACUUGGCAAAUUAUAUUAUUUUUUCAAAAUAAAAUUUAAAAAUAAAUAAAAAUAAUAUAUAAAAAACGAAUUCAAAAAAAAAAAUGUUGUCAACAAAACACUAAACCCUAAACUCUAAUACUAAACCCUAAACUCAAAUCCUAAACACUUCGGGAGCGACCUCAGUGGGUCGCUCUGAGAGGUCGCUCCGGGCUUCGUUUUGUGUCAUCUCGCCAUGGAAACGCGAGCGACCUCGGAGCGUCGCUCUGGCAAGUCGCUCUGAGAGGGGUGUCUCACGAUAGAAACGCGAGCGACCUCUCCAUGUCGCUCUGGCCAGGUCGCUCCGGGAUGUGUGUCACAGCGACUUCACGGCGUCGCUCCGGUGAGGUCCCUCUGGUGCGCUGCUCGUCCGUUGAUCGCUUUAAACACUUCUUUUGAGCUCCAAAUGCACCCAAAUGCCUCCAAGAACUCCAUGUGGUACUCCAACACCUGAUAAAGACUCAUGUAUGCAAAAUGCAACCUAAACGUGGCUAAAUCCUAGUAUAUAUGAUCAAAAUGCACAUGGAUGAAUGGACAAGACAAUGAAAAUAUGCAAGAUAUCAGGUUUUGACCAAACCACACAAAGAAGAAACUAGUCAACGGAUUUGUCUUCUUCUUUUAACGGAUUUCAUGUUCAUCAGUGGCAGAAGAUAGAUAAGCAAUCACGACGAUUGGCUGCACAAACGCAGAGCAAAUCUUUGUCCAAUUCGUACACCAAAUGAGUAGGUCCAUUGUCGUAUAUGUAAGAGAUGUGGAUAAAAAAAUGUUGUGGCACUAGUUAACUGAUCAGCUUAUGUUAAUUUCAAAAACUUGUCAUUUUAUGUAAGAGUAAAAUUGAUACUUAGGCGGUUGUGGACCUAAGUCUGUAAUUUUCACAAUCCCAAAAAUCACAACAUAUAUUAUUAGUUUUGUCACAAACGUGAUUCGAUCAUGUUAUCUUUAGGCUUUGUCUUUGAUAUUUUUCAGUUGAGUUAAAAGACAUUUGGUUUUAAGAAAAAAUAUUUUGUUAUAGCCAACUUUAAUCCUCACAACUUCUACUAUACCAAGUUACCAACUUAUAACCGAAACUUGUAAUAGCCGUCUUUUUUAGGACCAUCGUCUCCCGGAGUUACUAGGCCGCCAUUAGCCGAACAAGUGUUACCAUAAGCAUAUUUGUGUGCCACCAACCGCACAUGGCCUCCAAAUCUUACUCAUAACACUACAAGUUUUGAGUAACAAAAAUACACAUUUUUUUAAUUCUCAUAUGAUGAUCCAUCACUCUCACUUCUCUCUCUCCGUAUAAUUGAAGUGUGGUAGAUGGGAGAUAGCACUCUAUCUCUACACAAACCUCACAUGCUUCUUUAUCACUUGAUACCAUGUGCUUCCCCUUUUCCAUAUAUACUUCCAAGAUUACAUGCAUUCAUAGAAAAACAAUUCCUUAAAUUCAGUUUCAUUUUUCUAACCAAAUCUCUUAGCUUGGAUCUUAACGUAUGUCUUAUUUAGGCGCAUUGCCAUUUAUUUCUUCACUAAAGUUGCAAGGGUAAAGGAUCAAGGUAAGAAAAUGCUUUGUUUGAUCAUUUAAUUCCUUAAAUAAUUUGAGUUUAGUGCCAUUUGAUUGAGAACUAUUAUCCCAAAAGUGCAAAUUAUUGCAGCUUCUAAGAAGAAUCUUUAAUCUAUAUAUUAAAGAGUUAAAAAGAUAACUUUUUUAAGAUACCCACUAUAUAAAAAAAAAAACUCUUUUUGUUUUCAUUUCACCAAAUUAAAUAGAAAGAAUAACAAAAGAAGAAAAUAAAGGAAGAAAAAGAAAUAUUCUAAAGCUAUAUUAAUAUUCUUGUAGUUGAAUUUGGAGGUCACAUGGGACUGGGAUUAGUGGGAAGAGAACUAACAAAAACACCUUUGUAAAAAUAUACACUCAAGAAAGAAAAAAAAUUCACAAAACUAUUAAAAUAUACCACUUAGCAUGCUGCGGAAUCUGUUCAUAGACAGCUUCUUCACAAGCUUCUUAGCAUCCGAACCUUCAGUUUCUGCUAGCUUCUCUAUGCUUUUCAAGUACCCUGAACUCACAAUCUUUCUCCUCGCGCUAUUGCAGCUCGUUAAAGACAUCAAUAUAGAUAUCAAGAACUUUGUGCUACCCGAAUCGCUGCCCGCAUUGCUCCCAUCUUCAUGGUCUAGCAGUUUGAGAAUGUAUCCAAUGUUAAAGUCGUCUUGCGCAAACUUCUUCCUGUUCUUUGGAACCGAGAUCAAACAGUAUAACGCCACGCUCGCCAUCUGUCUUACAUCAAAUGAUUUAGCGUCAAGAAACUUAACUAACUCGGGCAUAAAGCCAGCGUCUCCCAUUAUCCUCUUAACCUCUUCUGGUAAGCUACAGAGCCUUGACGUAACCUUCAAGGCUGAUUCUUGAACAGAGAUCUCCCCAUUGCUUAGAAGAUACAGCAAAUGAUCCAAGAACUUGCAACUCAGCAAUGCAUUCAAACAACCGGGUGACCCGAAACAUAAGUUAUCAAUUGCCCUUAACGCUAUCUCCUUAGAUUUAGAAGAGGACAACGGAUUGGGAUCUGAUAACACACUCACUAGCUCCUGGAUUCCUCCUUGUCUAACAAAGGCUUCACGAGUCUGCUCAUCUUUAGAACACAUACUUAGCAAAAGAUCAAUAGAAUUUACCUGAACAAUCUCUUCCUUUGACCCAAUAAGCUUAAUGAAAGUGGUCAUCGUAUCGUCUUCUUCGAUCAUAUACCUCUUGAUCUCUUCAACACCGACGAGAUUCCUCAACACUCCACACGAGCUAGCGAUCAACUCGCCGCUAAACUCGCCGCAAGAACAGAUCUUUAGCAGUGCAGAGACGCCUCCUUGAGCAGAGACAGACCAAGCGUUCUCCGAGUUCUCCGUUAAUUUCAUCAAACACCUUGCAGACGCUUCUCUACCAACAGAGCUCCCGUUCUCAAGAACCCUAACCAAAGGCCCAAUCACACCCGACCGAACCAAAACAGACUUGUAAGAACCAAACCCAGAAAUAAAAAACAAAGCUUUAACAGAUUCCUCCUGAACCCCAAUCUCGGAAUCAAGAAACCCGACAAGGAGAUUAACCAAAUCGUUGCCUUCAGUCACAAUCUUGACGUAUCUAUCGUCCUCCUCCAUGGCUUCGUUAAGCUUCACCAAAGCCUGCCUCUUCAUCUCCAGAUCUCCGACCUUCAUCCUCGUCAUCAAAUCCCUAACGUAGAACCUGACGUCCUCCUUGCACGCGCCGCCGCCGGGCUUCGACACGACGAUCGCGAAGCCGCGGCUCAGGAUCCCGGCGGAGUAGAUCCGGGAGAGGUUCCUCGCGUGGCGGUCGAAGCUCGCGGCCAUCACGUCCAAAUCGCUCUGCAUCAGGAGCUUCCCGCUGUACGCGACGUUCAUGCAGCGCGUGGCGAGGUCGUAGCAGUCGGUUAGAGAGAUUAGGACGGCGGAGAUUAGGGAGGAGAGAGACGGGUCGUGUCCGGAGUCGUCGAGAUUGGAGAGGGCGGCGAGGCCGGAGUAGAGCUCGUCGAGCUUGGUUCUGAUGAGUUGCCAUUUGACGGUGAAGGAUUUGAUUGAGUGAGAGAGUGAGAUCAGUGAAGAUAUCGCUUCGAUUGCUUUCUCGAUGCUGGUUCUUGAUUCAUCACUUGUUUCUUCACCCAUCUUCAGAUUCUUCUUCUUCUUGUUCUUAGUCUUAAGUGGUUUUAAAGCAAAAACCCAUCUCGAAAGGAGAUCUCUUUCUCUCUCUAUUGAUAGAGAAGAUGACGAAUUUUAUUCCUACCACAAGGACAACGAUGGAAAAGACGGAGACUUUCACAGGUAAUCUCGUUGGCUUAUCGGCUAUGGUUAAUGGGUUUGACGAGAGAGAGAGAGAGAAAUGGUUUCGCAAUUUGACGGGCUGGCC
rnacentral:lncRNA from 1 species